AAUGAACGUUGGCGGCGUGGAUUAGGCAUGCAAGUCGAGCGUGUACCCCGCAAGGGGGAAAGCGGCGUAAGGGAGAGUAAUACGUAGAUACGUGCCUCCGGGUCUGGGACAGCCACGGGAAACUGUGGGUAAUACCGGAUAAUGUCUGAGGACCAAAGGUGUGAUUCCACCUGGCGAUCGGUCUGCGUCCUAUCAUGCUUGUUGGUGAGGGAACGGCUCACCAGGGCUACGACGGGUACGGGGAGUGAGAGCUUGCCCCCGCUCACUGGGACUGAGACACUGCCCAGACACCUACGGGUGGCUGCAGUCGAGGAUCUUCGGCAAUGGGCGCAAGCCUGACCGAGCGACGCCGCGUGCGGGAUGAAGGCCUUCGGGUUGUAAACCGCUGUCAGUGGGGAGGAAGGCUCCGUGAAGAACGGGGUUUGACCUAUCCGCAGAGGAAGUGUGGGCUAAGUUCGUGCCAGCAGCCGCCGUAA
rnacentral:rRNA from 1 species